GUUGGGUAGGGGAGCGUUCUGUAAGCCUGUGAAGGUGUGUCGUGAGGCAUGCUGGAGGUAUCAGAAGUGCGAAUGCUGACAUAAGUAACGAUAAAGCGGGUGAAAAGCCCGCUCGCCGGAAGACCAAGGGUUCCUGUCCAACGUUAAUCGGGGCAGGGUGAGUCGACCCCUAAGGCGAGGCCGAAAGGCGUAGUCGAUGGGAAACGGGUUAAUAUUCCCGUACUUGGUGUUACUGCGAAGGGGGGACGGAGAAGGCUAUGUUGGCCGGGCGACGGUUGUCCCGGUUUAAGCGUGUAGGUGUGUGUUCCAGGUAAAUCCGGUUCACUUUAACACUGAGGCGUGACGACGAGGCACUACGGUGCUGAAGCAACAAAUGCCCUGCUUCCAGGAAAAGCCUCUAAGCAUCAGGUAACAUCAAAUCGUACCCCAAACCGACACAGGUGGUCAGGUAGAGAAUACCAAGGCGCUUGAGAGAACUCGGGUGAAGGAACUAGGCAAAAUGGUGCCGUAACUUCGGGAGAAGGCACGCUGACACGUAGGUGAAGUGAUUUACUCAUGGAGCUGAAGUCAGUCGAAGAUACCAGCUGGCUGCAACUGUUUAUUAAAAACACAGCACUGUGCAAACACGAAAGUGGACGUAUACGGUGUGACGCCUGCCCGGUGCCGGAAGGUUAAUUGAUGGGGUCAGCGCAAGCGAAGCUCCUGAUCGAAGCCCCGGUAAACGGCGGCCGUAACUAUAACGGUCCUAAGGUAGCGAAAUUCCUUGUCGGGUAAGUUCCGACCUGCACGAAUGGCGUAAUGAUGGCCAGGCUGUCUCCACCCGAGACUCAGUGAAAUUGAACUCGCUGUGAAGAUGCAGUGUACCCGCGGCAAGACGGAAAGACCCCGUGAACCUUUACUAUAGCUUGACACUGAACAUUGAGCCUUGAUGUGUAGGAUAGGUGGGAGGCUUUGAAGCGUGGACGCCAGUCUGCAUGGAGCCGACCUUGAAAUACCACCCUUUAAUGUUUGAUGUUCUAACGUGGACCCGUGAUCCGGGUUGCGGACAGUGUCUGGUGGGUAGUUUGACUGGGGCGGUCUCCUCCUAAAGAGUAACGGAGGAGCACGAAGGUUGGCUAAUCCUGGUCGGACAUCAGGAGGUUAGUGCAAUGGCAUAAGCCAGCUUGACUGCGAGCGUGACGGCGCGAGCAGGUGCGAAAGCAGGUCAUAGUGAUCCGGUGGUUCUGAAUGGAAGGGCCAUCGCUCAACGGAUAAAAGGUACUCCGGGGAUAACAGGCUGAUACCGCCCAAGAGUUCAUAUCGACGGCGGUGUUUGGCACCUCGAUGUCGGCUCAUCACAUCCUGGGGCUGAAGUAGGUCCCAAGGGUAUGGCUGUUCGCCAUUUAAAGUGGUACGCGAGCUGGGUUUAGAACGUCGUG
rnacentral:rRNA from 1 species